rnacentral:miRNA from 2 species
UCUCUCCGCUCCUCGCGGCUCGC